CCUUCUGUUCCUGAGUUAUGGUGUUGAAUAAUGGCCAAAAAAGUGUUUUUCCAGGACAUUAUGAUGUCACAGUGAAGUUGACCUUUGACCUUUUGGGUAAAAAAUGUCAUCAGCUCAUCGUUGUAUCACAUUAAACAUCAGUGUGAAAUGUUGUCAUAAUUACAGCAUCAAUUCUUGAGUUAUGGCCAAAAAUGUGUUUUGUGACCUUUGACCUUUGACCAAAUUCUAAUCAGUUCAUCCUUGAGUCCAAGUGGACGUUUGUGCCAAACUUGAAGAAAUUCCCUGAAGGCGUUCCUGAGACAUUGCAUUCAUAAGAAUGAGACGGACAGAUGGACAGACAGACGGACAACCCGAAAACACAAGAAUACUGUAUCCUACGUUUCCCAUAAUGCAACUUAAUAGUGUCGUUCAUUAGACUUUCCCUGCCUGGUAAAUAUCCACAUCUUUCAAACUCCACAUCCUCAGGUUUUUAACGGAGGCAUCCUUUUUAGUCUCCAGGUCCAAAAUAACCCUGAUUACAUCAUCAGAGUUAUUUUCUCAGACUUGACAAAGCUCCUCCAGAGCCACAGAAAAAACAUAACUGUUUUCACAGGUGGAGUAGUAGUCCACAUGACAAGUUAACUGAUUUUGAUGUGAAGACUAAUCUUCAUGUCUUUAUGGUGUUUUUAAUCGACAACACUGAUUUUCCAUUUACAUAGAGAAACUGAGGCACUAAGCAGUAAAAUACAAUUAUUUAGGAGAAAUGGCACCAAAUGUACAACUGUAUCUGCAAGUGAGACAAAUUUCUGUAGUUUAAGUCCAAACACUGCUGCAAAAUGCCAGCAGGCUUUCACACAUACCAGUCUGACAGCAAGCGAGCUGAACAGGAAGCCAGUAAAUCAGUCGGUCAGGUCGUGGCCUGAGAUGUUUAAAGCGGCUGCAGGUUGUAAGCUUAAGGUUUAUGUAAUGCAGUAAGUAAAUCUUUUACUCUGGCACAAACAGAAACAACCACACACACUCACAGUUUGUCUGGCCAGAGAGCCAUCAACCUCUGGCCUUUUUAUAAACACACACACAUACUCUCGCUAAUCCACCCCUUGUCUCACCUUGCCUCAGAGGGGUGUGUGUGUGUGUUUGUGUAUAUAUGAAUGUGUGUGUGUGUGAUUAAGGCAGCGCGCCUUCCAGCAGCUAAAGCAGCAAAUCCAAUAACUGGCCUCUAUCGACUGGCACAGUCAUUAAUUAAGGCUUAAUACGGCUUAAUGCUCAGGCACUGCCCUACACUAACCCACAUACACACUGCAGGCUGGCUCGCCUCUGCCCGCUGCCUGGAACUGGUGAGGAAGGAAGCUUGGAUGGAUUCAUGGAUGGACUGACAGCGAGACAGAUAAAUGGAUGUUUAGGUGGGAGCAUAUGUCCUAAAGGAACGGUCCAAAGGGAAAGUGCUAACGUCAUGUUAGAGAAAUGGAGAGACAGUAAUAGAAAACGAAGAUCUGGAAGCAGCGUUCAGGCCGCCCUGCAGUUGCUCCCGGCUACAGAAGCCAGCUGGGCAAUGCAGACAUAGAAACGAUGAGAAGAUGAAGGAAAGGGAGAUGAAGGAGAGGAGCGGAUGACUGAUGAGCGCCAUCCAGAGGUGAGAACACGAGCGUGAGAGAGAAAUGAAAAGAACAGUGGACUAAACUGUUCCUCUCUGUCUUAAUACGGUUGUGAUUUCCCCACAUUUGCAGUCAUUCAUUAGUUCACAUCUGAAAACUGUAUCCUUAAAUAGUGCAUUAAGUCAGUGAUAUAAUUUUUUUUUUUAAAUAUAGCUAAUACAUUUUAACUUUAAAUUUAUUACAAAUUUUGUUUAAGUUUAACAUCUAUUUUUGACAGAAAGCUCAGAAAAUGUACAGCAGCAGCUAAAAAAAAAUGCACAGACACUUUUUAGAUAGCUUAAAGAUAAUAAAGAUAAAGACCAUAUCGUGCCUGAACCUAUUUUUCUGACAACACUCUGGUAACACACUCAACUUUUCUUCUAAAAAAUAAAACAAGAUAAAAUGAAGGAGCUGCUAUUUUGUGAAAAAUUUAAAUGCCUGAUUUAAAAACUGUGUGAUGAAAAAGAAAAAAAACAGUGCAUAUGUGAUUAGUAAAAAUGUAUUUGUGAAAUGUAAAGAGAUGGCAGCAGUGAUGUUAAUAUGAACGAUCUGUGGAACAUGAAUGUGAAGCGUAACGAUCGUAAGUGUAAACACUGGGCCUUCUUCAUUGUCUUUAUCCCCGAUUUCUCCACAUCUCACUCUUUUAUCAUCCCUCUAUCUCUCUGUACCUCUCAGAUCACACACACAGUCGCAACUCAUACACGCAGAUGCACACACACCCACACCCACACACACACACACAGAUGAGACAAAUGAAAGCUGUCCUGUUUCUUCUGCCCAGCCUCUGCCAACUUAAUUUGCAAAUGAAAAGUUUUGCGAGGAGCGUCCUUUUGCUUCUGGGGCAUGGCAGCACACUGUGUGUUUGGGGGUGUGGGGUGAGGAGAGAAGAGGGUUUGACAGAGGGUGUGUGUGUGUGUGUGUGUGUGUGUGUGUGGCAGGAGCCCAGAUGAAGCAGCCCUCGCCUGGGGCUCGCUGUCCGCCCGCGGUAGCAGCAAGCCUGUUCCUUCUUCCCCGGCCCGCCGCGACCAUUUGUUCCAUUAACCAAUCUCCUGGAGCCUCUGGUGCACACACACACACACACACACACAUCCACAGGCAUACAUACUUCAACAACUGCUUGCACAGCUCAUACCACACAUGGCCCUCCAUCCUUCGCUCCAUCCCUCCCUCCCUCCUCUGCUCUCCUCCAGACGCAUGCACCAUCUUUCUUCAUGGAGGCCAUAUGGCCCAGUGAAGCCUGUGGAUCUACAGGCACAUCUGAGUAUAUGUUGCUGCUCUCCUUAAAGGGCUGCACAGUGAGCUGUAUGCUCUCAUAAACACUCACACAUCCAUGCAGUACAUACACACGCACACCCAGGGCUGACAAACACACUCUGCCGUCACUGUGUGCUUAAGCAAACGUUGGUGUAAUGUGUGUUUGUGUAUGUGACCUCAGUGUGUACAUGCAUAGUGAUAAUUGGUGAAACAGCCUGCGAACAGCUGUGAGGUGAGAAAAGGUUGCGUGGUGUUUAGUAGAGAAUGCAGAGGGGAGGAGGAGAAGGAGAAGGAGAGCAGUAAAGUUGGAAAAUGAGAGAAGGGCAAAGAGGAAAGUGAAAAGAGAAGAGAAGAAGAAGGGGAGACAGAGGGCAGAGCAGAGGACAGUUACAGUUGAGAAAAAGUGGAUGCAAAUCUUAAGCAUGAACAGAAAACAGCGGAGAAGUCACAGCAAACUUUUCUCUACAUUUUGUUAUAUUCCUCUCCAUCAAUCUGUCAGAAAUAAUAUUUUUUAUACACAGGGAUUGGA